AACGUAGGUGGCGAGCGUUAUCCGGAUUUACUGGGCGUAAAGGGUGUGCAGGCGGGCGACCAAGUGGUGUAUGAAAUCUCCCAGCUAAACUGGGAUAGGUUAUGCCAGACUGGUGGUCUAGAGUCCGGAAGAGGAGAGUGGAAUUCCUGGUGUAGCGGUGAAAUGCGCAGAUAUCAGGAAGAACACCCGUGGCGAAGGCGGCUCUCUGGGACGGUACUGACGCUGAGACGCGAAAGCGUGGGGAGCGAACAGG
rnacentral:rRNA from 1 species